CUUCUUUUUUCAAUGUUAGAUCAAUAAGUCGGAUUACAAGUUGUUCAAGAGGAAAGGAUGUAAGCACUACCACACUCUAGGGGAGAUAUUCUGCGGGACCACAGCUACUGGAGGAUUAGGCAGUGUCUCCACCCAGCUUCCAAACACAUCAGAGGAAGUAAUGCAGCUAGAAGAUGAUUUUUUGAAUAGAGGAGUACAUGUGACUGCGGAAAAUGAUGAUGAAGACGAUGUGGUUUCAAAUACUCGUCGACGUAACGAAAUUGGAACAUUGGGCGAACGACGAUGUAAGAAACCUAAGGUCAGUAAAAGUGAUAAACUCGAGGCCUGUAUGGCACAGUGGUCAUCUACAGUUAGUUUGAGGAAUGAAGAAACUGAACUUAGAACACUUUAUCUAAAAGAAAAGCUUGCAAAUAUCUAAGGAAAAGCUAGUUGUCAAUCAGAUAGUGAAGCUAGUAGUCCAGAUCCUUAUUCAAAUGUUACUUGCUUGGACAUUUUAAACAAUAUGGAAGGGGUGUCCAAUGAGGUUUACAUGAAAGCAAUAAAGGCUUUCAAGGAUCCCAAUUUUAGGGUGCCAUUUGUGAAGAUGCCAGAAGCAAGGAUAGG
rnacentral:lncRNA from 1 species